rnacentral:lncRNA from 10 species
UUGGCCUCCUCCAGAGCACGCACCUUGUCCAGACAGGCCCCAACAGCCCCUGCUGGAGGCUCCAAUGCUCUUCCUGGGAUCAACUGCUCCUAGAAGAGAAGCAGGACCCUCUGUCACCCCCAACCCCACCUUGACUGUCACCAAAGAAGAAGCCAGAGAAGGGAGCCCCCCACUACUGUGGCCUAGGAGCUUGGAAGACAAUGCUGAGACAGACAUCUGAGCUGUGGGCUCCCCAAAUCUGCCAGCAAAGGACUCUCAAGGAUGGAUCAGGAAUAGAAGCUCCGGAGCCCGGGACAUAGGAACAGCUCUACUUUCCCUUUCAUUUCAUUCAAUAAAACCCAAAAGAAACUCCUUCCUCCCCCUCCUCCGAGGGGAAUCCAAAAGAUAAAGAUGGCAGGGAACCAAUGACAGAUCAGUCAAUCACAUAAUCUUAAAAGGCACUUCUGCAGUCCCACCCCAACCCCACGCACCAACACCAGAACCCUAGCAUGGAAUAUAAGCCUGAUCCCCCACACCCGGUCUUAGAACCGUGACCCAACCUGGAGCCUGAGGCCAACCCCUGCAGACAAGGACUCAGUGACCAAGGAGCUGCAAACAACCCAGCCAAGCAGGGAGCAGACUUAGAGGACACCACACUCCCCUCCCCUCCCUGAUGCCAAAGAAGCAUGGUACUCAGACAUUUUAAGGGAGGGCAUUUUCUGGGGCAUCAGGGGUUAAAGGGUUGUCAGUCCUGACUGCUGAGGCCCAGAGUACCCCCCACCUCUGGACUUCUAGGCAGACUUUGUGUGAGCACCAUUACCUGACCCUCCCUCCAGCCUGCCCCAAAAGGAGGGGGGUAAAGGAGGAGCCCCGGGCAGGACCUCUUGUGGUUAGUGAGUCUCCCUGCACCACCCUGCAUGGGGGAGCCCUCUGCCAAUCCAAACAGGUGAAGCUGGCAGGGCCAGGCAGCACCUCCAGAGCCCACACUGUGUGCUGAGGACUGUGCUGGGGACCAGGAGAUGGCAUCCUAAGGAAGGAGGAAACCUCAGGACAGCCCCCGCCCUUGGAGUGCAUGGCCUACUGGAAGAGACGAUCCCUGCCUUUAGGAAGGUCCCAGCAUGAAAGAGAAGCAGGAAUGCACAUCAACAUUACUUAACAUACAAACAAAUGGAAGAAAAGCACAGACAAGUAAGAUUGGUUUCCCAGGGCUGCCAUAACAAAUUACCACAAAUUUGAUGGCUUAAAACAACUGGCUGGGCACAGUGGC